UACGGAGGGGGCUAGCGUUGUUCGGAAUUACUGGGCGUAAAGCGCACGUAGGCGGCUUUGUAAGUUAGAGGUGAAAGCCCGGGGCUCAACUCCGGAAUUGCCUUUAAGACUGCAUCGCUAGAAUUGUGGAGAGGUAAGUGGAAUUCCGAGUGUAGAGGUGAAAUGCGUAGAUAUCGUAAGGAAGACCAGUGGCGAAGGCGGGUCUCUGGACAGUUCCUGACGCUGAGGCACGAAGGCCAGGGGAGCAAACGGG
rnacentral:rRNA from 1 species